rnacentral:lncRNA from 1 species
GCCACAAUGAAGGGGCUCGCGCUUGUGGGAAAGGAUUCAUUGUGUGCAUGCUCGUAAAAGCGGCACGAUUAGGCAUAUACUUACGUUAGUUCUGCACGCAGGGGCUGUUGAAAGAGACAUCGGAGAAGCACCCCCAAGAGCAAAUUAAAGGGCAGCGAAAGACGGUGACCAGCUUUCUGUCAUCUCUACGCUUGGAAAGCGUGUCUGCGUCCAACGACACAACACAGUGCAGUUUCUGUAAGUCAUACCUAGACUACGUCGAGAGGUGCCUGAUGAACAGAAGUGCUGCGCAGGUAAUGUACCGGGUGAGCGUGAUGUGCGAGUUUUUCUACACCACCAUAGAGGAACCCUGCCGGCU